GUGUCCUAGUUGUAAUAAUAAUAAUAAUUGAACAUUUAUUUAUGGAACAUUUCCUGUGUACUAGGUAUUCUGUUAGACACUACUUUGGGUAGCUCAUUGAAUCUUUAAAUCAACCCUGUCAGGUAAGUACUAACGUUAUUUCCAUUUCACAGAUUAGAAACUGAAGCACAGAGAGGGAGAGUAACUUGUCCAAGGUCACACAGCCAGUUAGUGGUGUUGCUGGGAUGUGAACCUACAUGGUCUAGGCCCAGAGCCUGAGUGUUUAAACUCUAGACUGGUGCUGCCCAGUAGGGCAGUCACUGGCCGCAAGACGCCAUUUACAUUUACCUUGAUGAAAAGUAAAUGAAAUUACAUGCUACAACAUGGAUGAAAUUCGAAGACAUAAGGCUAAGUGAAAUAAGCCAGAUACAAAAGGACAAAUAUUGUCUGAUUCCACUUAGAUGAGUCCCUGGAGUAGUCAAGUUCAUAGAGAUAGAAGGUAGAUGGGGGUUGCCAGGGGCUGGGGAGAGGAGGGAACGGGGAGCUUGUGUUUAACAGUUACAGAGUUUCAGUUUGGGAAGAUGAAACGUUCUGGAGACGGAUGGUGGUGGUGGUGGUUGCACAACAAUGUGAAUGCACUUAGUGUGACAAAGCCACACACUUAAAAGAAGUUACAAUGGUAAAUUUCAUGUUACAGAUUUUACCACAAUUUUUUUUUUUUUUGAGAAUGAGUCUUGCUCUCUUGUCCAGGCUGGAGUGCAGUGGCAUCAUCUUGGCUCACUGCAACCUCCACCUCUCGGGUUCAAGCAACUCUUGUGCCUCAGCCUCCUAAGUAGCUGGGAUUACAGGUGACAGCCACCAUGGUUAAUUUUUGUAUUUUUAGUAGAGACGGGGUUUCACCAUGUUGGCCAGGCUGGUCUCGAACUCCUGACCUCAAAUGAUCUGCCCACCUCAGCCUCCCAAAGUGCUGGGAUUACAGAUGUGAGCCACCACGCCCGACCCACAUUUUUUUUUUUUUUUAUUAUUAUACUUUAAGUUCUAGGGUACAUGUGCACAACGUGCAGGUUUGUUACAUAUGUAUACAUGUGCCAUGUUGGUGUGCUGCACCCAUUAACUCGUCAUUUACAUUAGGUGUAUCUCCUAAUGCUAUCCCUCCCCCCUCCUUCCACCCCAAAAUAAGCCCCGGUGUGUGAUGUUCCCCUUCCUGUGUCCAAGUGUUCUCAUUGUUCAAUUCCCACCUAUGAGUGAGAACAUGCGGUAUUUGGUUUUCUGUCCUUGCAAUAGUUUGCUGAGAAUGAUGGUUUCCAGCUUCAUCCAUGUCCCUACAAAAGACAUGAACUCAUCCUUUUUUAUGGCAGCAUAGUAUUUCAUGGUGUAUAUGUGCCACAUUUUCUUAAUCCAGUCUAUUAUUGUUGGACAUUUGUCUUGGUUCCAAGUCUUUGCUAUUGUGAAUAGUGCCACAAUAAACAUACGUGUGCAGCAUGUGUCUUUAUAGCAGUAUGAUUUAUAAUCCUUUGGGUAUAUACCCAGUAAUGGGAUGGCUGGGUCAAAUGGUAUUUCUAGUUCUAGAUCCCUGAGGAAUCACCACACUGUCUUCCACACUGGUUGAACUAGUUUACAGUCCCACCAACAGUGUAAAAGUGUUCCUAUUUCUCUACAUCCUCUCCAGCACCUGUUGUUUCCUGACUUUUUAAUGAUCGCCAUUCUAACUGGUGUGAGAUGGUAUCUCAUUGUGGUUUUGAUUUGCAUUUCUCUGAUGGCCAGUGAUGAUGAGCAUUUUUUCAUGUGUCUGUUGCCGGCCCACAAUUUUUAAAAAGGAUAUGAAAUUAUAAAUCCAGUCCUCAGUCACACCAGCCACGUGGCAAGUGCUCAACAUCCUGCAUGUGGCUAGUGGUCACCGCAUUGGAGAGCACAGAUAUCCAUUUUCAUCCCUCUAGAAAGUUCUGUUGGACAGUGCUGCCUACACCACCCAUGGGCCCCCGAGGACAUUGCUCCUUCUUCUCUACCUGCCAGCCCAGCUCUGGAAGACAGCAAUGCUCUCAUGCAUCUGCACAGCACCUCGCAGGUUGCAAACGCCUCUCCCACCUAUUGUCCCCUUCACUCAAAGACAAGGGUCACACACUUGAUGGGGUGACACAACAGCCCCAAUAAUGGCAGGCAGCACUGGCUCUCAGGGUAGACCUGCUUCACCCACCAUUGUUCCCCACUCAGCUGUGUCAAGACAGAAGCAGCCAGGUCUUCCCUUCCUGGGACCUGGGCCCAGCCCUACCUCCACUCACGUGGCUGCCAGAGGGACUGACCGUGUUCCAGGCAGGCUGGGCCUCCAGGCUGCUGAGCUCUUUCCUGUAGUGCCCUGACAGUUUCAUGGGAGGAGUCAAGACAUUGAGCACUGCUGUGCGCCUCCUGGUACAGCAGGAGCUGGUCCUAUAGGAUUUCAGCCAUCCUGCUCCUCCCACCCACCCUGCACCAUCGUCACCGCUCAGGUUCAGAGGGCUUCGGUCAUUUUCCCAAGACCACACAGCUGCUGAGUGGGAGAGGCAGGAUUUGAACCAGGAUUUCUACUGUACUGUGUCUUGGGACAAGAAUGGAUUGGGGUUGAGAGGGAGCUGCCCCCGAGGCUCAGUCUAGGCCCUGAGGAAGAGUCAGCCAAACUCUCCCCAGCCACGUGAGCAGGAGGCCCAGAUAAAGAAAGUGCAUCGAGCGCUGAGUGCCAGGCACUGUGCUGGGUGUGUGGGUGUGUGUGAGAAUGUGUGUGUGUGUGUGUGUGUGUGCGCGCGCGCGCGUGUGUUUGCUUAUUAGCUCACUGCAUCCUUAGCAGGUAUAAUUACCAUCCCCAUUUACGGGGGCACUGACAGGUAAAGUAACUUGCUCAAGGGCACACAGCUAUUGAGUGACUGAGUGGCAAGAUCAGGAUUUGAACCUGGACAAUCUGGCUCUGGAGACCCUGCUCCAAUGGGCAGACCUGUGGGCAGAGUUUCUCUGCCAGCCCUCUGAGCUUUGAUUGCAGGAAGGAGCGGCCCCUCCUGCUGGCAAGGUCAGAGGAGGGUUCAGGGAGGAAGGGGGAAGAGGCAGGCUCACCUUCCUCCAGUCCAUGAUGUCCUUCAGCCUACGGAAGAGGAAGAUGCCUUUCCCUUGAGACCGGGCUACCUGGGGUGGGAUGGGGGCAGAAAGCCGGCUCUUAGCUCUGUGUGGUUCCUUGUUGGCCCCCGUGGCUGGGGGCUGUCCCCAGCAUAUCUGUCUCUUUUUCCUUAUGAACCCCCAACUCUCCCCAGAGGAAGGCUAGCUGAAGGGUCUGGAACAGAGAAGGUGCUAACCCUGGCAGAGGGAGAGAGGGAAGGGAGGGGAAGGGGGAGACUGACUUAGCUCACAAAGACAUACAUUUGCAUGAAUAAUGCAAAAGAACAGACAAUUAAAAAGCCAUUUCUAACAGUCCUGGGAACAUAUCAUCCAAAUCUUUUUUUGGAAAUCAAUUUGCCUUCCUAAUUAGGGUUUGCUUCGGCUAAUACUGAAAUCAGCCUGCCUUUACUGAACCCCAGCAUGGAUAAUUCAUAGCUUCACACAGUCUAGGGGCUGAGAGAAUCUUUGAUCUCAUAUGGAGUGGUCCUCAACAAAGGCAUUACUCCCCUUCUACCAUUGUAGAAGGACAACAGUCCUCCUGCCUGGCCUUGCACACUCACAGUGCCUAGCAGCUCACUACCUCCCCCACCAACGCCAAACAGCCCAUUUUGUUACAGGAUAGCUUUGUUAAGUAGUCAUCCAAAAGGUAUAUAUGAAGUGCAUACUGUAUGUUGAGCAUUAUGCAAUGGAACGUUCACAGCCUAACCUGUGUUGAGCUAAGACUGGCCAGUCUGGCUUUGGCUUUUAGGACCUCCUAGAACAAAGCUGAUUCCUGGGUGCCAGAAGAGUCCUUUAGGUAUUUGCAGCCACUGAGCAGAUCUCCCAAGUCAUCUUACCUCCAGCAUAACUGCAACUCUCAUUUCCUUCUGUUCUCCUCUGAGCAUGGCCCACCUGGCCCACCCGAGGCUCUCUGUACAAGAUAGGGGCAUGCAGGGCUGCCAGGUGUGGUUGUACAGGUUGUCUACUGCACAAAGAGCCCCUGCUCUGCCUGCCAUGCUGUGCACCAUGGUUCAGGGUUGUGUGUGCCCAGAAGACUGGGUGCCAAAAACUCUAUGGAGCACUGGUGGUGGCUCAGGGGCAGCCAAAUGUGCACAGCAAUUUUAGAAAGCAACUAAUAAGUGUGCAUCAGGAGCUUCCAACAGUUCACGGCCUUGCAAAAGACUUGAACAGGCAUUUUACGAAAGAAGAUUACCAGUGUAAACAUACAAUAGGUUGGGCACAGUGACUCACAUCUGUAAUCCCAGCACUCUGGAAGGCCGAAGUAGGAGGAUUAUUUAAGCUCAGGUGUUCGAGACAAGUCUAGGCAACGUAGAAAGACCUUGAGAUCACAUCGCUACUAAAAAUAGCUUUAAAAAUUAGCUGGGUAUGAGAGUGCACCCCUGUAGUACCAGCUAUCUGGGAGGCAGAGGUGGAAGGAUGACUUGAGCCCAGGAGAUCAGGGCUGCAGUGGGCAGGGAUUGCACCACUGCACAGCCUGGGCAACAGUGUGAGACUGUCUGUAAAAAAAAAAAAAAGAAAGAAAAGAACGGGCACUCAACUUCAUCAGAGGGUUCACCAACAGAGAAGUGCUAAUUGACAGAACAAGAGCACCGUCAUCUCGUCAUCUCGGACAAACACUGCCACUUUAAGUUCCAGUUCCCUUUCUGGCCUCAUGCAUUUCAAGGAAAUCACUUCUCUUCUAACUACAAGCAGACAGAAAGAGCAGACAGUAAAACACAGAUAAGACAGCUCGGGCACAGAGGGAGAUGGGGGGAAAGUCUCUUGGGUAACUGCCAAACUUCGCCCUCAUACAAUGGACCCCAGUAAAACAGUAGAUCUUAAUAAGCACAUUCCUUUCCCUUCCGGUGCACUAAGAUAGGAAAGCUAAAAGCAACCCGGGGGAUAUGCCUGCAGCUGCAGAAAGAUGUAUGGGAACAGACACACAACUCUCCCUCCCAGAUAAGCACAACAAAGAGACACAGAAGCAGUCCAAGCCUCUAAUAAACUCUCCCGCCCUGAAUCCUUAAAAACUCUUAGUCUGUAAGAGAGUGUGGCUCUGACCUAACUCAGCCAGAAGGUUCCUCUCAGGUUUGUUUUCUCUAAAAUAAACCUGUCUUGACGGGCGAGCCACCUUUCGUGUUUCUCUCCUCUUUCUUUAAUUCUUACACUAAUGAAAAUCACAAUAUGAUAUUACUAUAUACUACCUGAGAAUGGUUAAAUUAAAGACAGACAAUACCAAGUAUUAGUGAGGAUGUGGAGAAACUGGAACUUGCACACACUGCUGGUGUGAGAGUACGUUGUUUGGAAACUGGCAGCAUCCGCUAAAGCUGAACAUAGGCAUCCUCUAUCCUAUGUCCCAGCAAUUCCUCUCCUAGGGACCUACAUGACAGAAAUGUCUGCACAUGUCACCAAGGACAUGGCCCCAGACACCCACAGCAGCACUAUCAUAAUAGCUCCACCCUGAGACUCCCCAAUGGAUGAAUAUUUAAUCAAUGGAAUAGUAUACAACGAUGACAGUUAAUAAUGUACAAUUACCCACAUCAGCAGAAUGAACUGCAAAACAUGUCAAGGGAGAGACACCAGACACAAGGUAGUCAUCCUAUAAGAUUCCAAUUAUAUAAAGUCCAAAAGCAGACAAAGCAAACCUAUGAUGUUUAGUGCCUUGGGGGGUUGUGAGUGAGUGGAAAGGGGCCUGAGAGGGCUGCUGAGGGUAGGGAACGCUCUGUUUAUGACCUGGGUGCUGAUUAUUUGAGUGGAUUCACUUUGUGAAAAUUCAUACUGUGACCCUAUAAUUUGGCUACUUUUCUAUAUUUUAUUAAACUUCAAUUAAACGGUAUCUUUUCAGGUUCAUAUGCUUUGGUCUAGGAACCCCUAUCCCCAACCCUGUUGGCUGCCUUCCCUAUGGCCACUUUCCUUCCUCUUCUUCCUUGCUAGCAAAGCCCACCUCUCAUGAGGGAGGCUAGAAAGGCCAGAUGUAGGUUUUCCCAGCUUCCCUUGCAGUUGGUGGAAACCACAUGACCAGUUUUGGCCAAUCAGACCUAAGGAGACAUUUGCUCAGAGAUUCCAGGAAAGAUGUUUCUCCUUGUUAAAAAUAUUAGGGAAGGAGCUGGGGAGAAAGGGGAUCGGGAAGAAAUAUCCUGGGCUCCUUCCUUCUUUCUUUGAAUGCUACAGUCUGCGGAGAUGAUGCCUGUGACUGCAGCAGCCAUGUCACAUCCAUGAGGUGACAAGUCUGAUGACAAAAAGCCAGCACACAGGAUGCAGAGUGGAUGGAGAGCAGGAGCCUGGGCCUCUAGUGGCAUCAUCUAGCACAUCCCCAAACCUGGAUAUGCCUACCCUCAGCCUUCUUGUUCUGUGAGAUAACAAAAUGCCUUUAUUGUUCAGGCCAUUGUUAGUAACUUGACAUGACUGUUCCAGGAGGUGCCUUCCUAAGGGACUAACCCUAAAGAAUGAAAGAUGAACCGCCUGCAUGGUGUUACAUCGGGGCCGAUGAGAUGGAAAUCACCUAAUACCUAGUUCCAGCAGAUGGCAGUUUCCAAAAACAACCACGACAAUAUUUCCUGUCCCAUAUGUUCUCCAGAACCCUGUCAAAAGGUUAACUUACUGCAGAUAUUAAAAUGCCCAAACCGUCAGACUCAACAAUGCCUAGGUUCUGAGACACGAAGGUCCAGCCUGAUCAAGUUCCCACUGGCCACCAUGUCCCCAGCAAAUGGACCAGAAUUUAUCUGCUGUGAAUGAACUCCCAAGUAUCCAAGGCCACAUGGAGCACGUCCCUCUGACUUCCAAUCCUCCCCUCUCCAAGUCACCUAUGAUGGAGUCUUAAGUAAUGGAAGGUAACCACCAUAGUAAUCACACCAUCAAAUUCACAGACUCCUCCAUGCUCAAGGAGAGAGAAUUGUACAAGGCAUGUACUCUAGGGAGUGGGAAUCUUGGGGCCCAUCUGAGAAUUCUGCUUAGCACACCAGCCUACCCCUCAAAGAGCGGCGGAGAGGAGUGGAGGAAACUGCUUUACAAAACUGGCAGAAGCAAGCCCCACUGAAACACAGUGAAAUCUUGUUCCAUUCUUCCAUUCAAGCCCUUCCAACUCCCCCAACACUAGUCAAGCUGUCCUUGUCUUUUUGUAUUUUAUCUUUAAUCCUCUCUCAUGCUUUCAAUUCCAUUUUCCAUAUGUUUAUCCAGUUGCUCCAGAGCCUUUGGUUAAAAAAAUUUUCCUCUCCUCAUUGAAUUGCAUUGGCACGUCUGUCACAAUUCAAUUGACCAUGCGUAUGUGGAUCUAUCUCGAUACUGUGUUUUGUUCUAUUUACUUGUCUAUCCUUAUGUCACUAUCAUAUUGGCUUAAUUACUGCUGUAGCUUUCUGGUAAAUCUUGAAGUCAGGUAGAGUAAAUUCUGAUUUCAAGAUUGUCUUUGCAAUUAGGGGUCCUUUGCACUUCAACAUAAAUUUCAGAAUUGGCUUGCCAAUUUCUACGAAAAAACAUGUUGAGAUUUUGACUGGGAUUGCAUUGAAUCUACAGAUAUUUUCAGGAAGUGACAUUAUAAAGUACGGAGCCUUCCAAUCCAUGAAUAAUAUGGUCUCUCCAUUAAUUUAAAUCUUUUAAAAAUUUUUUUCUAUUUUCUAGUUUUCAGUAU